rnacentral:rRNA from 1 species
CCAUGAAGUUGGAUUCGCUAGUAAUCGCGCAUCAGCCAUGGCGCGGUGAAUACGUUCCCGGGCCUUGUACACACCGCCCGUCAAGCCAUGGGAGCCGGGGGUGCCUGAAGUUCGUGACCGCAAGGAGCGACCUAGGGCAAAACUGGUGACUGGGGCUAAGUCGUAACAAGGUAAC